rnacentral:misc_RNA from 1 species
CGCACCUUGCACCUUUUGGUAUUCCGAAAGGUACAUCUGUUUGAGUGUCAUGAAUCCCUCAACCUCUACAUUUUCUUGUAAGAUGUAGUUGCGUUGGAUGUUGAGCGCUGCUGUGCACAACAGCUCGCUUUAAAUGUAUAAGCAAUCUUGAACUGUUCGGAUUGACUUGACGUGAUAAGAUCUUCGUCAAGGAUGCUUAGCAGCCGGACCAGUCUACUAGAAGCUUCGAAACCAGUCGCACACUGUUGCGCACAACCCUUUUAAAUUUAGACCUCAGAUCAGAUGGGACUACCCGCUGAACUUAA